rnacentral:rRNA from 1 species
UGGGGAAUAUUGCACAAUGGGCGCAAGCCUGAUGCAGCCAUGCCGCGUGUAUGAAGAAGGCCUUCGGGUUGUAAAGUACUUUCAGUCGGGAGGAAGGUGGUAAGGUUAAUAACCUUGGCAAUUGACGUUACCGACAGAAGAAGCACCGGCUAACUCCGUGCCAGCAGCCGCGGUAAUACGGAGGGUGCAAGCGUUAAUCGGAAUUACUGGGCGUAAAGCGCACGCAGGCGGUUGAUUGAGUCAGAUGUGAAAUCCCCGGGCUUAACCCGGGAAUUGCAUCUGAUACUGGUCAGCUAGAGUCUUGUAGAGGGGGGUAGAAUUCCAUGUGUAGCGGUGAAAUGCGUAGAGAUGUGGAGGAAUACCGGUGGCGAAGGCGGCCCCCUGGACAAAGACUGACGCUCAGGUGCGAAAGCGGGGGGAGCAAACAGG